AACAUAUAUUUUUUCAUAUAAUAAUAAUCUUAUAUACAAUAUAAUGUAAUAAUUUAUAAUAAUAUACUAUUUAUCUUUAAUUUGUUUAAUUUAAUUGAUAGAGAAUGUACUAGCCGGUACUGUUAGCGCCAUCUAAAAAUAUAGGAAACAUAAUUGAAAUUCUUAUUGUAAUAGUCACAACGCCAACAAUGGCGGAGUGGUUUCAAAUAAAAGUUGAUCGCCUCAUUAAAGUUAAUAAUAAUGAAGAAAAGAAAGAUAUUUUGACUGAAAUCAAAAUAAAAUUGGGAAGUUAUAAUCAUGCAGAAAUUGAAGCCAUUGCACGAAGUUUGGAUGCUAGUUCUUUAUUUCUUCUCUUUUCGUCUAACGACAGAGAAGUCACAGAACAAAUAUGUAUAAUAUUCAAAACUUUAUUUGAAGUAUUGGAACCAGGGGAAAUUUAUCAAAAAUAUCCAGCAAGAGUAUAUGAAUUAAUAUCUCAUUCUGAUGUAUCAGUUAGAUCUCUUAUAUUGAAGGAGCUAUUGUCUACUGCUUCUAAUCAACAAACGCAGCUUUUAUUACUUGCAGAUGUUAAUUUAAUAGUUGCAGUUAUAAAAAGAAUAAGUGAUGAAGAUUUGACCGUUGCCACAUCAGCAAUGUGUAUUAUAAAAGAAAUUGGAAAGGAUAUGAAUGGUUUGAAAAUUUUAUAUCACGGUGAACCUUUAAGAACAUUUGCCAAAUUGGUUGUUAAAAACGAUAAUGUAAGCUUUCGGAUUUAUGAUGUUAUAAUAAACAUAGCCAAAAAUUCCAAAGAAGCUUUAGAAGUAACGAUACAAUCAGGAUUUUUGAACAGUCUUAUCAAUAUUUUACAAGAUGAUGAUAUAUUAUUACAAAUGAAUGCUUUGGAAACUUUGACAGAAUUAGCUUUGACAGAAGAAGGCUUGAAUUAUUUGGAACAGCAAGAUGUUUUGACAGGACUUGUUCAGAAAAUUGCACAAGCUAAUGAAAAUCCCUUGUCAAGUCUGUUAAUUCCUGGCCUUAUGAAAUUCUUUGGAAAUGUUGCAAGAUUGUGGCCAAAUGAAAUAUUUUCGAAAUAUCCAAUUGUAGUCUCUUCAUUAUUUGAAGUACUUGACAGUGAUAAUCAUAUUAUUUUAAAUGUUGCAUUAGAUACAUUGGGUCAUGUUGCAUCUAGUAUUGAAGGAAAAUACGCAUUACAAGAAUUGGGAGAUUCUAUGCUAUAUGCUCUGAAGAAAAUUGCAGAAAUUAUUCAAAGAAUGCCAACAGAGUUAAGAAUUUCCAGUAUGAAUAAUCUCACUCUCAUUCUUAAUGUACAGAAGAUUGAACAAGAUAAUAGAAUUUUAUCUUUAACAAAGUCAUGGUUCGAUGCUCUUUGUGAUGAUCCAUUAGGAUUAAUAGUUGGACUGUCUAAGCAGCCAUUUGCUGACAUCAGAUCUGCCAGCUUAGAGGUUCUAGCAGUUGUGGCAUCUCAAGCAUGGGGCCAAGAGUAUAUAUCUACUUAUCCAGGUUUAAUAGAGUUUCUCCUUGACAGAAACAUUGAAAGCUUCAAAGAGUGCAAGGAAACUAAAUACAAAGUUGUUAAAUGUUUGUCUGAAGCAGAAUCAUAUAUAUUUGAUGCAAAUACCAUGCAAAAAUUUAAACAGUUUGUUAAUGAAGGUCCAUUCUAUGUUGAAACAAAUACAGAAAUUGCAUUUGAAAGUGCUACAUAAAUACAGAAGUUGCAUUUGAAAGUGAUAAUGUUAUUUGGUAUUAUGGACAUUGUUAAGAAGUACAAGUUGUAUUGGUAAUUGAUUAUAACUUACUAAACUUACCACUAUAUCUUUGCCCAAAUGGAAAGGUGAAUCUAAAUUCAUAGCAGUCAGUCUAAUAAUUAUUGGAUGAAUUAGAUAAGCACAAUAAGUUACUCUACUGAAUGGAUAUAGAACAGGUGCUGAUAAAA